GCCUUCGUGGUGUAGUGGCCAACACUCUGGGCUCGUAUUCGAGAGGUCCGUGGUUCGAGUCCCGGCGAGGCCU
rnacentral:tRNA from 1 species